rnacentral:rRNA from 1 species
GACGAACGCUGGCGGCGUGCUUAACACAUGCAAGUCGAACGGAAAGGCCCUGCUUUUGUGGGGUGCUCGAGUGGCGAACGGGUGAGUAACACGUGAGUAACCUGCCCUUGACUUUGGGAUAACUUCAGGAAACUGGGGCUAAUACCGGAUAGGAGCUCCUGCUGCAUGGUGGGGGUUGGAAAGUUUCGGCGGUUGGGGAUGGACUCGCGGCUUAUCAGUUUGUUGGUGGGGUAGUGGCUUACCAAGGCUUUGACGGGUAGCCGGCCUGAGAGGGUGACCGGCCACAUUGGGACUGAGAUACAGCCCAGACUCCUACGGGAGGCAGCAGUGGGGAAUAUUGCACAAUGGGCGGAAGCCUGAUGCAGCAACGCCGCGUGCGGGAUGACGGCCUUCGGGUUGUAAACCGCUUUCGCCUGUGACGAAGCGUGAGUGACGGUAAUGGGUAAAGAAGCACCGGCUAACUACGUG